rnacentral:lncRNA from 10 species
CUUCAUACCAUGCUUGAAAUGACAAGAUUAUAGACAAGGAGAACACAUGAGUGGAUGCUGGGGUUAGGGGUGGUGUGGAUGUCACCACAAAGGUUGUGCAAGGCGGACCUAGGCGUGAUGGAAUCGUUCUCUUCCCUAGCUGUACGGGUGGCUGCAUGAAUCUAUACAGUGAAAAAAUGACUCAGAAACCACACACAGUGGCCCUCCCUCCGUCUGAGGUUUCUGAGGAGCCUGCGGAUACUGGGAGGGCUGACUGGGGGACUUGAGCACCCUGGGAUUUUGCUGUCCUGGGAGACAGGGUCCUGGAACCAAUCGCCGUGGAUACCAAGGGACUGCUGUGCUCACAUUGUAGCUGCACACGUUUCCUGGCUUAGAUUUGGCACUGUGGUUAUGUAAGAUGUAACCAUGGGAAGAAGCCAAGUGAAGAGUACCCUGGACCACAUCCUGGAAAUCUGUAAUUAUUUGAAAAUACAAAGAGCCAAGUCUUGAACCCCAUCAGCCCAGGGCCACAGCCCCUCGCCACUCCUUCACACGGCUCAUCACGUGGCCCCAUCUGCCCCGACUGGUUCCCGCUGGGUUUCUGUCAUCGUCACCAAAGUGCAGUGGUCAUCCAGCCUCUCAGCGCCUUUGAGUCCCUGGCUGGGGUCUUCAGUGACCCUUCUGUGUUUCUUUGCCUCCCAGCCUUGUAAGUUUCCUGACCGUUUUCACACCCUCAUCUCAUCUGGUCCUAUGGAAGGCACGGCAGAUGUUACCCCCCGUUUCAAAGCAGUGGAAACUGAGGAUCAGGGUGGCUAAGCUCUUUGUCCAGGGAUACGCAGCUAAGGACCAGUAGGGCCACCAUGGAACUCAGCUCCAGUCCAGAGCACUCCAACAACCUGAGGCAGCCGGGUGUCUGCUCAGAUUUCAGCUCAGGAGAGAGACACUGUCAUCUGUCUCCAAAACAGUCAGGUCCAAGGGAGGAUCUCAAGGGGAAACUGUACUAGGUUCAAAGCCAAAAACAUACAGCUGCUUCCCAGACCAGACGGGCCAGGCACACACCAUCUGCCUGCGAUCACUGAUCCAUCUGUGUCUCUCCUCCCGUGCAGGGAGGAAGCAGGAAAGGCCAGGGAGGAGGGAAGGGAGGCUCUUUAGCCAUCCCAGGGGCAGCAUGAUGAAGGGGAGAGCCCCUGGGAAUCAGCAGGCCAUGGUUCAAAUCCCUGCUUCUCCAUGUACUGUGUCCCACUAGACUAUAGGCAGCAGGGGCGGUUUCUAGGCUGUUCCAGGCUGGAACAGCGACAGGCAGCAGACACCACAACUCAUGUGCAACUUUAUACACAAUUAAAAGAAAAAGCACAACUAACCAGUCUGAUAUUAUAAUGCUUUCACCUUAAAAAAUAUUAGAGUUAAUUUUUUUAAUUUAAACUUUUUGUGGGUACAUGUGGAAACAAAAUGAGUUCACUGUAGGGGUAUGGAUUUGUUUCCGGGUUCUCUAUUCUGUUCCAUUGGUCUAUGUGUCUAUUUUUAUGCUAGUACCACGUUGUUUUGGUUACUAUGGCUCUGUAGUAUGAUAUGAAGUCAGGUAAAGUGAUUCUUCC